GAUGAACGCUGGCGGCGUGCCUAAUACAUGCAAGUCGAGCGAACGGACGAGAAGCUUGCUUCUCUGAUGUUAGCGGCGGACGGGUGAGUAACACGUGGAUAACCUACCUAUAAGACUGGGAUAACUUCGGGAAACCGUAGCUAAUACCGGAUAAUAUUUUGAACCGCAUGGUUCAAAAGUGAAAGACGGUCUUGCUGUCACUUAUAGAUGGAUCCGCGCUGCAUUAGCUAGUUGGUAAGGUAACGGCUUACCAAGGCAACGAUGCAUAGCCGACCUGAGAGGGUGAUCGGCCACACUGGAACUGAGACACGGUCCAGACUCCUACGGGAGGCAGCAGUAGGGAAUCUUCCGCAAUGGGCGAAAGCCUGACGGAGCAACGCCGCGUGAGUGAUGAAGGUCUUCGGAUCGUAAAACUCUGUUAUUAGGGAAGAACAUAUGUGUAAGUAACUGUGCACAUCUUGACGGUACCUAAUCAGAAAGCCACGGCUAACUACGUGCCAGCAGCCGCGGUAAUACGUAGGUGGCAAGCGUUAUCCGGAAUUAUUGGGCGUAAAGCGCGCGUAGGCGGUUUUUUAAGUCUGAUGUGAAAGCCCACGGGCUCACCCGUGGAGGGUCAUUGGAAACUGGAAAACUUGAGUGCAGAAGAAGAAAGUGGAAUUCCAUGUGUAGCGGUGAAAUGCGCAGAGAUAUGGAGGAACACCGGUGGCGAAGGCGACUUUCUGGUCUGUAACUGACGCUGAUGUGCGAAAGCGUGGGGAUCAAACAGGAUUAGAUACCCUGGUAGUCCACGCCGUAAACGAUGAGUGCUAAGUGUUAGGGGGUUUCCGCCCCUUAGUGCUGCAGCUAACGCAUUAAGCACCCCGCCUGGGGAGUACGACCGCAAGGUUGAAACUCAAAGGAAUUGACGGGGACCCGCACAAGCGGUGGAGCAUGUGGUUUAAUUCGAAGCAACGCGAAGAACCUUACCAAAUCUUGACAUCCUUUGACAACUCUAGAGAUAGAGCCUUCCCCUUCGGGGGACAAAGUGACAGGUGGUGCAUGGUUGUCGUCAGCUCGUGUCGUGAGAUGUUGGGUUAAGUCCCGCAACGAGCGCAACCCUUAAGCUUAGUUGCCAUCAUUAAGUUGGGCACUCUAAGUUGACUGCCGGUGACAAACCGGAGGAAGGUGGGGAUGACGUCAAAUCAUCAUGCCCCUUAUGAUUUGGGCUACACACGUGCUACAAUGGACAAUACAAAGGGCAGCGAAACCGCGAGGUCAAGCAAAUCCCAUAAAGUUGUUCUCAGUUCGGAUUGUAGUCUGCAACUCGACUACAUGAAGCUGGAAUCGCUAGUAAUCGUAGAUCAGCAUGCUACGGUGAAUACGUUCCCGGGUCU
rnacentral:rRNA from 1 species